AAUUGUGGAUUUUAAAUCUUUUUAGUUUAUAUUAAAUUUAUGGUUAAAUAUUUAUUUUAUAAUUUUUUAGUGAAAUAUUAAUUAUAAUUAUAUUAUUUUAUAUUAAAAUAUAAGAAAGUUAGAUUUAGACUAGGAUUAGAUACCCUAUUAUUAUAACUGUAAAAUUAUAGCUUAAUCAUUAAUAGAUAUGAUCUUUAAAUUUAAAGAAUUUGGCGGUAAUUUAGCUAUUCAGAGGAACCUGUCCUGUAAUUGAUAAUCCACAAUGAAUUUUACUUUUAUUAGGUUUAUAUAUCUCUAUCAUUGAAUGUCUUUUUAAGGUUUGAUUUUCUAAAUGGUUUUUUAACCUAAAUGUUAGGUCAAGGUUUAAUAAUAUAAAAGUAGAGAUGGGUUACAUUAUUAUUAUAUGGGGAAUUGUAUAUGGAAAUAUACACGAAUUUGGAUUUGAUAGUAAAUUACUUUAGAAUAAGUUGUUGAUAUUAGCUCUAAAUUAUGCACACAUCGCCCGUCGCUCCCAACAUAUGUUGGGAUAAGUCGUAACAAAGUAGAUCUAUUGGAAAAUGGAUCUAGAAUGAUUACU
rnacentral:rRNA from 1 species